GUAGGUGAACCUGCGGAGGGAUCAUUAACACGUAUCCACGUACCACUAGUAAGCCCUUUAUGGUUAACUCAAAGGUUUCGACAACCCAGUGCUAUGAGAUUUCACAAACAGUAGGACGGCCUAAAAACCGUUGUCUCAUCUGGAUAGAAACCUCGUCGUGAAAUGACACAAAAAAUUUCCCGGACUCUUCGGGGUUCGCAGUUUGCUACUGUUUUGUAUCCUGUUGUACCUUUUACCAUUUGUAACCUUC
rnacentral:misc_RNA from 1 species